GGAUUAGAUACCCUGGUAGUCCAUGCCGUAAACGGUGGGCGCUAGGUGUAGGGGUCUUCCACGACUUCUGUGCCGUAGCUAACGCAUUAAGCGCCCCGCCUGGGGAGUACGGCCGCAAGGCUAAAACUCAAAGGAAUUGACGGGGGCCCGCACAAGCGGCGGAGCAUGUGGAUUAAUUCGAUGCAACGCGAAGAACCUUACCUGGGCUUGACAUAUACAGGACUGGGCCAGAGAUGGUCUUUCCCUUUGUGGCUUGUAUACAGGUGGUGCAUGGUUGUCGUCAGCUCGUGCCG
rnacentral:rRNA from 1 species